AGAACGAACGCUGGCGGCAUGCCUAACACAUGCAAGUCGAACGAGACCUUCGGGUCUAGUGGCGCACGGGUGCGUAACGCGUGGGAAUCUGCCCUUGGGUUCGGAAUAACAGUUGGAAACGACUGCUAAUACCGGAUGAUGACGUAAGUCCAAAGAUUUAUCGCCCAGGGAUGAGCCCGCGUAGGAUUAGCUAGUUGGUGAGGUAAAGGCUCACCAAGGCGACGAUCCUUAGCUGGUCUGAGAGGAUGAUCAGCCACACUGGGACUGAGACACCGG
rnacentral:rRNA from 1 species